AGGACAACAAUUACAGUUGCUCCCGAAGAUCCUCCACUAUCUAUCCUGGUGGAUGCUGAGGUUGUAACCACCCCCUUAGAGUGUCAGGCAGUAGCUCCGAUGCCAGCUGCGCCAGGCUGCCCCUCCCCGAGCAUGCCCUCGAGUUAGGUAGUUGACUUGGACUCGUCUCUUGCUCAUGCUGAAGAGACCUAGGCUGAGGCUGCCAGAGCUCUAAAGGAUACGUCUAAGCACUAAAGCUCAACUCCUGAGGGGGCAACGACGACGGGGGCGUCAUCUUCCUUCCUUCUGAGACAUAUGGCCAUCUUACCCAACUGGGGGUGAGGAUAUGUUCCAGAGGAGGAGGUGAACACAAUGUUGUCCUUGUGCCCCGACCUCUUCCUUUCAGCCAUGGUGGCCUCACAUAUUAAGUGUGCUUGGGGCCCUUGUCGUCCUCCAACUUUUACUCGAUUUGAAAGCCCGGGUGGAUGGUGCAAAUCGAAAGCUCUAGGCCACUAGAGCUGAGCUACGGAAGACUUCCGAGCCGGAGGCAGUCAUGGAGGCCUCGGCGGCAACUCUCGUUGAAGUCGAAUUUCUUUAGAGGCCUUGAGGGUCUCCCUAAAGGACCACAAGGUGAGCUCUUCUCUUUUGGCUGCUUAGCAAUGCAAGAAGGUCAACCUGUUGGCCAGGGUCAUCGAGCUAGAGGUAAGGGCCACCGAGGUAGAGACUUGCCUAGCCGAGGCGGGGGUUCGGGCAGUUAAGGCAGAGGCAUGCUCUACGGAGAUUGAGGCCAGGCCAGCGGGAGUUGAGGCUGUGAUUCCUGCAAGAGAGAUGACUAUCAUGAAGACUUUCAAGGCCUCUAAGGGGCAUCUAGCUGAACUAGAGGAGACAUUCAACGCCGGCUUUUAGAAUUUCCGGGAAGACAUUCAGCGCCAAUAUCUUGAUCUUGACUUGGGGUAUUUGGAUGAGGACGCCACAGAGGUCCCCGAAGCUGCCGCUCUUGAGGCCAAGGAACUCCUACAAGCUUAGGCUUUGUUUAUUUUUGUACACAUGUAUUUUACUUAGUAACUUUGUAACAGUUUCUUUUAUUAAUAAAAGGUGAUU